GGAGGAGGAGGAGCGGGGAGGGGAGCGGGGAGGACGGAGGGCGGGGAGGGGAGGUCGCGGAGGGGACCCGGGUGCCGUCCCGCCUGCCCCCUGCGGCAAGGUCUCCGCCCCCGACCCUGAGGCGUCCCAGCUCGUCGGGCUCCUAACUGGUCCGAAGGGACUCGGUGACCGUGGGAACCGGGGGAGGGAGCAGGUGUAGACCCGGCGUAAAGAAGGCCGAGGGCGCUGGGCGGACGCCGGUGGGUCCGGGAGCGACUGUGUCCGUCGGGACGUCGCGAAAGGCUGAGCAGAACGUGUCCCAGGAGGUGGGACCAGGCUCCAGAAGGACACGGGCGACCCCGGGACAGGGGUGCUGGGGCCAUUUCAUAGAGAGCAGAGCAAAAGGAGAGCAGCGGGCGAAAACCGCAUCUCUGUCUUCUGGAAAAUACCCCGCGCCUUAGAGAGGACCCCUUCCUUCCCAGGCACACAGUGAGAGAGAGAGACAGAGACAUAGGCAGAGGGAGAAGCAGGCUCCAUGCACCGGGAGCCCGACGUGGGAUUUGAUCCCGGGUCUCCAGGAUGGCGCCCUGGGUCAAAGGCAGGCGCUAAACCGCUGCGCCACCCAGGGAUCCCACUACUGCCGAAUUCAAAACAUCAUAGGAGUUGCAGUACGUAGACCAGCACUUACCCAGUAGCACCUGACAUCCCAACGGAGGCCUUCCGGGCCACCUGAGAGCCACAGAAGCCCAUCAGGGGGCUACAAGAACUUCAGGCCAUUGGCCCUUCUGACGCCUCUGACUCAAAACAAGUGUGCAUUUGGCCUCUGGCCUGUUGAUAUUUGCUGCUGCCUCUGCUCACCUUCCUUCAAGGAUGUUCCCCACUGUAAGCCCUCCUCCUCUGCCCAGUCUCCCUUACCAGGGUAUCGUUCUGGGACUUCUGGGGCUAGGUCGAAGGAACUUCACACCUUCCACCCAGGACUCUUGGAAUACUCCCUCUGGAGGCUGCCAGGGAUCCCUGGGUGGCGCAGUGGUUUGGCGCCUGCCUUUGGCCCAAGGCGCGAUCCUGGA